CCCUUUUUAACUCCUCCUUCCCCGCCCCGGCUGUUCCCUCACCCCCGCCCCACAUAGGAUCCUAUCAGUCGCACGUCCGCCAUGUAUUUAGGGCCCCGACACCCGCUGCUAGAGGACUGUCCCGAGUGGAAAUUCGGCGGGCGAAGGAGUCCCAGACCCCCUGUUCGGCUGUCGCCUUGUCUUCGCGUCGCCCUCAUGUCUUCAAGCCAACAGUCUUCGUCGAUCGACUGACCGAAGGAAUGAAUGAAGAGUUGGGCAGUGAACAUCCGCUUCCUUCUCGGCCAAGCCUCGCGUGACUCGAGUUACGAGCGAAGUUAGUGUGUGCGCGUAGUUUCUUCGCUGAAGUCUAGUAGGCGCGACAGGCACGCUCUCGUGACGGAAUAAUUUUUCCCCAUUAUAGAGUGAACAUAUAUGUGUCAGAAGCGAAAACGCUUGAAGUGGAGUCAAGAACAUGACUUUGAAGCCUCUGCAGCGGAAUCUGAAUAAUUCUGUUAUUUUUCCGUUUUUGGUCCUGGCGGGAGGUCACUCAUGGCUGGCGAGGUCGUCGACAGGUGGGAUGAUGACGAGGAGGAUCAUCCUGUGAGGGACAGCAGCCUUGUGGACAAGCCGGUACGCCUGUUAAACUGACCUCACACGCUGACCCCAACAGAAACCAUAACAGGUGGGUGGGAACUAGUCUGCCUGUCUGCUAAUUUCGUCCCAUUUUCAACCCGAUUUGUCCCAUUUUCGG